rnacentral:rRNA from 1 species
GCUGAAUAUACCGGUUCUCGUUAGAUCACCGAAGUUAAGCAUCAUUGGGCGCGGUCAGUACUUGGGUGGGUGACCACCUGGGAACACCGCGUGCCGUU